AAAGUUGCCUGUAAGAGCACGCAAGAGCAAGUUAUGUUGUUGUAUGUAUUCUAUUCUACUCUAAAGUUGUUCGUAACUUUUUAAACAUAGCAAGAUCAAAGGCAGUCUAUUCACCCGACUAUAGUGGUAGGUGAGCUAUGUUUGUACUCACUCACAAACAUUGGGUCAUGGGAGCGCCCGCGUAACAUAUCGAGCGUCUACUGAAUAUGUAGGGUGACCAUGAGUUGUGAAAGCGAUGGGAUAUUGAAAGGCAAAUUUUAGUAUGGCAUUAUAUUUCUAUUUUAAGAUGACGAUAACGGAUUUUAUCUAAAAUGUUAAUGUAAAUUUUAACUAUAUGUAUUUAUAUUAGUAAAACUUAAGGGCUAAACAGUAUGAAACUGCAAUAAAAAAAAAUAUAGAUACAUAUUAUAAUUGAAUUAUUCAAAUAUUUAGCUUCUAACUUGAUCAAUAAAUGAAUUUGAUAGUACUCCCACGUAAACGAAUCAAUAUUGGAAAUAAAAAGGAUCUAAUAUUUUAUAAAAGUCCCAUAGAAGCAGCGUAUCAUGGUCACUAACUAGUUCCAAGUUUGGAUGCGCCGCCGACACGGUAGAGCGACUGAGAUCCUCCAUUGUCUUAACACAUCACUAGUGAUGGGAUGAACAGAUUCGACUUAUCGAAGGUAAUAAAAACAGAAUAUAUAUUUUUCCAUACAUAGCCGUUUUUAAUACAAAGCCACCAAAAGCUCUAAUCUAAUUACACGAACUUAUAUAUUUUUACUUUGGAAAAAUAAAAAUGAAUCUAGAUAAUGGAUAAUUGAAAAGAAAUCAUGUAACAAAAGGUUAACAAACCGAUCGGUGGCCGAACAAAAACUGAAAUAGUUAAAUUGCCGAAGCGUGAAGGUCAAAAACAAAGGCAGCUAUUUUUGACAUAACAAACGUUAUUACGACAAUUAUACGGCAUGGCAUUUUGUUUGAUUACAAGUCAAGGUCACUUGUAGUUUCCAAAUACUAUGUAAGUAUAAUUGGUUUAGGUCAAUGGCAUUAAGCCCAGCUUUCUUCAAUGUAAGCUCGUUAACGUAAAUUGAUAAAGUAUCUAAUCCAAUAAUCGAUUGCUUUAAUUUUACCUAUUGAAUUUAAUCGACUUAAGAUUAUUAUCGAUGCCUUUUAGUAUCUUGAUCAACCACCUACUUACUUAAACUAUGUAACUAGGUAUAUUUUGUAGACUUCUGACACUGCACAACAUAUGAGUAGGGCUAUACAUACGUGAAAUUACUUAUUACAGAACUCAUAAGAAAAGAUCCCGACGAAUUGAGAACCUCCUCCUUUUUGAAGUCGGUUAAAAGCUAUCGACAGAUACCCAUCACUAGCCGUGUCCCACAGAGCAUUUAUAUGGCAUUUUCAACUGGAUAACCGUUAUCCAUAGCUUGAUGCACUCUUAAUAGAGUAUCAACUAGGAGGUAACAAGGUCACUGUGUCUCAAGAUUUCGUUCAGAUUAAAGUUACGUAUUCGGCUAAAUGUAUUAUUUUAUUUUAAUACCGGUACCGGGGUGAUUAGAUGAAGAAAUAUAGUGUUUGUAAUAGAGAUCAUACUCCGAAUUUGGUUGCUAUUGCUACAAGAGGAAAUUACAAUAUGUGUUACUGUAAUGUAAUAUGGAAUAAUAAGUGAUUUAUCAUUUGUUUUGUAGGUCUGAUGUUUCGAUUUAUGUAGUUUUAUUAUUAGUACUAAAAAGUCAGUUAGGUUCUGGGUGUUUUAGAAUUAGUCAAAUAUGCUAUACCUACGUUCAUCAGUCAAAGUACGGAUAAACUAUACUUUUACAGGUAGAAUGUAGAUAUUUAAUGACGCGGGUUUCCUCGCAUGAUUUUCUUCACCAUAUCGAAGACUAUUUUUAAUAAGAUAUUUAUGAUAGUUUGUAAAGAAGAAAGCAACUAAGAAAAAAUAAGCCUAAGCCACUGAAACGAUCUGUUUCUAAAGAAAUGCAAUAAAAAAGUACUAAACAUUUUCUGAAUCGCUAUUAUAUUU